rnacentral:rRNA from 1 species
GAUGAACGCUGGCGGCGUGCUUAACACAUGCAAGUCGAACGGAAAGGCCCAAGCUUUCUUGGGUACUCGAGUGGCGAACGGGUGAGUAACACGUGGGUGAUCUGCCCUGCACUUCGGGAUAAGCCUGGGAAACUGGGUCUAAUACCGGAUAGGACGAUGGGUUGGAUGCCGUGGUGGAAAGUUUUUUGGGGGUGGGGUGGGCUCGCGGCCUAUCAGCGUUUUGGGGGGGGAUUGGGCUACCAAGGCGUCGACGGGGAGCCGGCCGGGGAGGGGGUACGGGCAAAAUGGGGAUGGGAUACGGCCCAGACCCCCACGGGGGGGAGCAGUGGGGAAUAUUGGACAAUGGGCGGGAGCCCGAUGCAGGCACGGCGGCUGGGGGAUGACGGGCUUCGGGUUGUAAACUCGUUUCGCUAGGGACGAAGCGUUUUGUGACGGUACCUGGAGAAGAAGCACCGGCUAACUACGUG